CGCUGUGCCUCGAGGAUUAGUUUAAACAGCGGGCUAUAAAAGAUGUAACAGAUGCAAACUGUAACACAAGGGCCAUUAACCCUUUCUCUGCCGCCCAGCACGCCCAGUCCCUACACCCUGCACCUAUUGUCUCCGGUGCCACAAGCUUUGCGGAAAACCUGGAAAUUUUGGCCAGAAAUGGUGAGAAGAAAAAGCAUGAAGAAGCCGCGAAGUGUGGGGGAGAAAAAGGUGGAGGCGAAGAAACAGCUCCCGGAGCAAACUGAACAAAACCUCGCCAAGAGUGUCGGGAGGCAGGACCGUUAUUCCUGCCGAGCAGGGGAGAGAAGAGAGACCCUGAAACACGCGCCACCUAUCUUUGUGGGGAGGGAUAAUUGAAGCGCCCUGAGCGUGAGCAUCAUGUGAAAACGUGAUCGCCAAGUUUCUCUCUGGGAAAGGAUCUGGGAUAGAUUAUACCUUGAAGUCUCCGCAAACGCUUUAGUGGAAGAAAUGAAAUUCCACCUCCCUCCCUUCCUCUCUCCCUCCCUCCCUUCUCCACGCCCCCCCCCCCCCCCCCCCCCCCCCCCCCCCCCCCCCCCCCCCCCGUCAAGCAAGCCUUUGGCAUCAUUAUCCUCAUCACUAAAUCCUGCAGAGUACUGGGCGGAAAACGGUGCACACCAUUCACAGAACUGGAGAACUCCAAGGGGCGAAAGUUAAAGGGAAAGAUCUCGGGUCUUCCAUGCAGAUCUCUUGUCUUAUACAGAUAUCUCUGGUGACUAGGUUUGAGGUGCACGUCAAGUUGUAUGGAUACCUCAAGUACCGUCUUUUGGAACUAAAUUCUUGCCCUUUCUCUUAUUACAUUUUUUUUUUUUAAAGAUGCCAGAGCUAGGGGAGGAAAAUGCUACUUGUAUACUGCAUCUUAGGAUCUCAGUGUGUGUGUGUGUGUGUGUGAGAGAGAGAGAGGGGGGGGUGGAUUUUCUGGAUUGGAUCCCUAUAUUAAAAGUUUGGCAUUUUAAUAAAGGGUCUCUAGGUUAACAUAGAGCUGUACUAUGCUGGCCAAUCUCUGGACCCCUCUACACCUCAUGCAGACCACAUUACAAAGUGAGGGGACAGGGACAAGAGGAAGAAGGAGAAAGGCCAGAGGAACUUAGGACGAAAGAAAGAAGAGGGUGACACUAAACUGUGUGGGGUCUAAGUUUUGAAGUGCAUAUUUUUGAUAUUGCAAUUAAACUAAAAUUAAAAAGAAAAGACUCCACCUUUGCUCUGAAGGGAUUGGUUAUGCAAAUAUGGAAGGGAUUUCCUGGAGAAUACAGCUUUCUACUGUAUGGUUAAUUAAAUAAUCACUCAAAA
ensembl:antisense